AACGAACGCUGGCGGCAUGCCUAACACAUGCAAGUCGAACGAGACCUUCGGGUCUAGUGGCGCACGGGUGCGUAACGCGUGGGAACCUGCCCUUAGGUUCGGAAUAACUCCCCGAAAGGGGUGCUAAUACCGGAUAAUGUCUUCGGACCAAAGAUUUAUCGCCUUUGGAUGGGCCCGCGUUGGAUUAGCUAGUUGGUAGGGUAAAAGCCUACCAAGGCGACGAUCCAUAGCUGGUCUGAGCGGAUGAUCAGCCACACUGGGACUGAGACACGGCCCAGACUCCUACGGGAGGCAGGAGUGGGGAAUAGUGGACGAUGGGCGAAAGCCUGAUCCAGCAAUGCCGCGUGAGUGAUGAAGGCCUUAGGGUUGUAAAGCUCUUUUACCCGGGAUGAUAAUGACAGUACCGGGAGAAUAAGCACCGGCUAACUCCGUG
rnacentral:rRNA from 1 species